CUAACACAUGCAAGUCGAACGGUAACAGGUCUUCGGAUGCUGACGAGUGGCGCACGGGUGAGUAACGCGUGGAUAUCUGCCUAUUAGUGGGGGACAACUUGUGGAAACGCAAGCUAAUACCGCAUAAUCCCUACGGGGGAAAGCAGGGGACCUUCGGGCCUUGUGCUGAUAGAUGAGUCCGCGUCUGAUUAGCUAGUUGGUAGGGUAAAGGCCUACCAAGGCGAUGAUCAGUAUCUGGUUUGAGAGGAUGAUCAGACACACUGGAACUGAGACACGGUCCAGACUCCUACGGGAGGCAGCAGUGGGGAAUAUUGCACAAUGGGGGAAACCCUGAUGCAGCGACGCCGCGUGUGGGAAGAAGGCUUUCGGGUUGUAAACCACUUUCAAUUGGGAAGAAGAGAUGAGUGUUAAUAACAUUCUGAUUUGACGGUACCUUUAGAAGAAGCACCGGCUAAUUUCGUGCCAGCAGCCGCGGUAAUACGAAAGGUGCAAGCGUUGUUCGGAUUUACUGGGCGUAAAGAGAGUGUAGGUUGUUUAUUAAGUCGGAUGUGAAAUCCCGGGGCUCAACCUCGGAACUGCAUUCGAUACUGGUAGACUAGAGUUCGGGAGGGGUAAGCGGAAUUCCGCGUGUAGCAGUGAAAUGCGUAGAUAUGCGGAGGAACACCUGAGGCGAAGGCGGCUUACUGGACCGAUACUGACACUGAGACUCGAAAGCGUGGGUAGCAAACAGGAUUAGAUACCCUGGUAGUCCACGCCCUAAACGAUGUCAACUAGCCGUUGCGGGUAUCGACCCCUGCAGUGGCGAAGCUAACGCGAUAAGUUGACCGCCUGGGGAGUAC
rnacentral:rRNA from 1 species